rnacentral:rRNA from 1 species
ACUCCUACGGGAGGCAGCAGUGGGGAAUAUUGCACAAUGGGCGCAAGCCUGAUGCAGCCAUGCCGCGUGUGUGAAGAAGGCCUUCGGGUUGUAAAGCACUUUCAGUCGUGAGGAAGGUAGUGUAGUUAAUAGCUGCAUUAUUUGUACGUUAGCGACAGAAGAAGCACCGGCUAACUCCGUGCCAGCAGCCGCGGUAAGUACGGAGGGUGCGAGCGUUAAUCGGAAUUACUGGGCGUAAAGCGCAUGCAGGUGGUUUGUUAAGUCAGAUGUGAAAGCCCGGGGCUCAACCUCGGAAUAGCAUUUGAAACUGGCAGACUAGAGUACUGUAGAGGGGGUUAGAAUUUCAGGUGUAGCGGUGAAAUGCGUAGAGAUCUAGAAGGAAUACCGGUGGCGAAGGCGGCCCCUGGACAGAUACUGACACUCAGAUGCGAAAGCGUGGGAGCAAACAGGAUUAGAUA